CCUACGGGGGGCAGCAGUGAGGAAUAUUGGUCAAUGGACGAGAGUCUGAACCAGCCAAGUAGCGUGAAGGAUGACUGCCCUACGGGUUGUAAACUUCUUUUAUCAAGGAAUAAAACGAGGCACGUGUGCCUCUUUGCAUGUACUCUAUGAAUAAGGAUCGGCUAACUCCGUGCCAUCAGCCGCGGUAAUACGGAGGAUCCGAGCGUUAUCCGGAUUUAUUGGGUUUAAAGGGAGCGUAGAGGGGUUGGUAAGUCAGUUGUGAAAGUUUGGGGCUUAACCGUAGAAUUGCCAUUGAUACUGGCAGUCUUGAGUACAGUUGAGGUAGGCGGAAUUCGUGGUGUAGCGGUGAAAUGCUUAGAUAUCACGAAGAACCCCGAUUGCGAAGGCAGCUUGCUGACCUGUGACUGACGUUGAUGCUCGAAAGUGUGGGUAUCGAACAGGAUUAGAUACCCGAGUAGUC
rnacentral:rRNA from 1 species